rnacentral:tRNA from 1 species
GGCCCGUUAGGUCAGUCAGUUGGAGUGUGGUGCUGAUAACACCAAGGUCGCGGGUUCAAUCCCCGUUCAGUCCC